rnacentral:rRNA from 1 species
GUGGGGAAUUUUGGACAAUGGGCGCAAGCCUGAUCCAGCAAUGCCGCGUGCAGGAAGAAGGCCUUCGGGUUGUAAACUGCUUUUGUACGGAACGAAACGGUCCUGGCUAAUAUCCGGGGCUAAUGACGGUACCGUAAGAAUAAGCACCGGCUAACUACGUGCCAGCAGCCGCGGUAAUACGUAGGGUGCGAGCGUUAAUCGGAAUUACUGGGCGUAAAGCGUGCGCAGGCGGUGCUGUAAGACAGGCGUGAAAUCCCCGGGCUCAACCUGGGAAUUGCGCUUGUGACUGCAGUGCUGGAGUGCGGCAGAGGGGGAUGGAAUUCCGCGUGUAGCAGUGAAAUGCGUAGAUAUGCGGAGGAACACCGAUGGCGAAGGCAAUCCCCUGGGCCUGCACUGACGCUCAUGCACGAAAGCGUGGGGAGCAAACAGGAUUAGAUACCCUUGUAGUCC